AUUGAACGCUGGCGGCAGGCCUAACACAUGCAAGUCGAACGAGUGGCGGACGGGUGAGUAAUUUCUGGGAAACUGCCCGAUGGAGGGGGAUAACUACUGGAAACGGUAGCUAAUACCGCAUACCAUCGGAUGUGCCCAGAUGGGAUUAGCUUGUAGGUGAGGUAACGGCUCACCUAGGCGACGAUCCCUAGCUGGUCUGAGCGGAUGACCAGCCACACUGGAACUGAGACACGGUCCAGACUCCGACGGGGGGCAGCAGUGGUGAAUAUUGCACAAUGGGCGGAAGCCUGAUGCAGCCAUGCCGCGUGUAUGAAGAAGGCCUUCGGGUUGUAAAGUACUUUCAGCGGGGAGGCGUUACCCGCAGAAGAAGCACCGGCUAACUCCGUGCCAGCCGCCGCGGUAAUAC
rnacentral:rRNA from 1 species